rnacentral:rRNA from 1 species
CUACCAUGCAGUCGACGGCAGCACAGAGAACCUGGCUCCUUGUGUGGCGUGUGGCAGAGGGGUGUGGAAUAUGGGAAAAUCUACUUUUUCGUGGGGGAUAACCUGGGGAAAGUUACGCUAAUACCGCAAACUACCUACAGGUGAAAGGGGGAGACCUUCGCGCCUUGCCCGAUUGAAUGCCCCGUGGGAUUAUUAUCUAUUGGGGGGUAAAGGCCCACCAGCGACAAUAUCCGUAUGGGGUCUGAGGAGAUGAUCACCCACUCUGGAACUGACACACUGUCCACUCUCCUACGGGAGGCAGCUGUGGAGAAUAUUGGACAAUGGGCGCACCCCAGAUCCACCCAUACCGCGUGGGUGAAAAAGGCCUUCGGGUUGUAAAGCCCUUUUGUUGGAAAAAAGUUUUGUCUGGCUAAUACCCGGUUGGGAUGACGGUACCCAAAAAAUACACCCCGGCUAACUUUGUGCCAGCCCCGCGGUAAUACAAAGGGUGCACGCGUUACUCAGAAUUACUGGGCGUAAAGCGUGCGUAGGUGGUCUUUUUCUCAUGUUGUGAUCCCCCUGGGCUCCCCUGAACAACUGCAGUGGAUACUGGGCUACUAGUCUUGUGGUAGAGGGUAGAAUACUUCCUGGUGUAGCAAUAAAAUGCGUAGAACAUCAGGAAUAACAUCCAUGGCGAAGGCCCCUACCUGGACCACCACUGACACUGAGGCAAAAAAUCGUGAGGAACAAACAUGAUUUAAUACCCUGGUCCUCCACGCCCAAAACGAUGCUAACUGGAUGUUGCCUGCAAUUUGGCGCUCAGUAUCGCAAACUAACGCGAUAGUUCGCCGCGGGGGGAGUACGGUCGCUUGACUCACACUUAAAUGAAUUG